AUUUAAAAUUCUGUAAACAUAAACUAGAGGCUCUCAAGAGCCUGUGUCGCUCACCUGUUAAUGUGUUUACUGAUGUCGGCCAUCUUCGUUGGUAGGCGGGGUCAUUAGACACUUUUUUUUAAAAUAGAUACCCUAGUAUUAUGAUUGUAGCCAAGUUUGGUUAAAUUUGGCCAAGUCGUUUUAGAAAAGAUUUUUAUACAAGUUACAAAAAUGACGAAAAAUUGUUCAAUAUUGACUAUAAAGGGCAAUAACUCCUUAAGGGGUCCUCUAACAAUUUUGAUCAUGCUGACUUAUUUGUAGAUCUUACUUUGCUGAACAUUAUUGCUGUUUACAGUUUAUCUCUAUCUAUAAUAGUAUUCAAGAUAAUAACCAAAAACUGCAAAAUUUCCUUAAAAUAACCAUUUCACAGGCAGCAACCCAACAACAGGUUGUCCUAUUCGUCUGAAAAUUUCAGGGCAGAUAGAUCUUCACCUGAUCAACCAUUUUACCCCCAUGUCAGAUUUGCUCUAAAUGCUUUGGUUUUUGAGUUAUAAGCCAAAAACUGCAUUUUACCCCUAUGUUCUAUUUUUAGCCAUAGCGGCCAUCUUGGUUGGUUUGACGGGUCACGCCACACAUUUUUUAAACUAGAUACCCCAAGGAUGAUUGUGGCCAAGUUUGGUAGAAUUUGGCCCAGUAGUUUCAGAGGAGAAGAUUUUUGUAAAAGUUUACGGACGACGGACGCAGGACGACGGACGACGGACGCCAAGUGAUGAGAAAAACUCACUUGACCUUUCAGGUCAG
rnacentral:lncRNA from 1 species